rnacentral:rRNA from 1 species
GACGAACGCUGGCGGCGCGCUUAACACAUGCAAGUCGAGCGAAGCGGCGGACGGGUGAGUAACACGUGAGUAACCUGCCUUAGACAUUGGGAUAGCCUCGGGAAACCGGGAUUAAUACCAAAUGGUCUAAGAUGGACUCGCGUCCCAUUAGCUAGUUGGGAUGUAACGGCCCACCAAGGCGACGAUGGGUAGCCGGCCAGAAGGGGUAGACGGCGACAUUGGAACUGGGAAACGGUCCAAACUCUACGGGAUGCAGCAGUGGGGAAUAUAGCACAAUGGAGGGAAUGCUGAUGCAGCGACGCCGCGUGAACGAAGAAGGCUUUCGAGCCGUAAAGUUCUUUUAUAUGGGAAGCGGUACCAUAAGAAAAAGCCCCGGCUAACUACGUGCCAGCAGCCGCGGUAAUAC